ACUGAGGAGUUGUCCGUGCAAGUCGAACCAUUUUGACACCCAAUAGCUAGCCCUCCCAUCCAAACCAAACAAGUCC
rnacentral:tRNA from 1 species